rnacentral:piRNA from 1 species
UGGAGGAAUAUAGACACCCUCCUCUC